AGCUCGACAACUUCUCCGGUAAUUAGUAUACAGCAUAUAUAUAUAUAUAUAUGUAUGUAGUUACAGCUGCACACUAACCCUUGUAAUUAAUAUUCUAAAAAUGUAUAUAUCCAUCACAGGCUCCGGAUUCGCUUCGAAGAACAAGUACCUGUACGGCAAAGCCACGGCCGACAUCAAGCUCGUCCCCGGCGAUUCCGCGGGGACCGUCACCGCAUUCUACGUACGGUGGAUACGAAUUAAUUGUUGAAGACGAAAAUUAAGAAAAAGAAGAAUCUUUUUUUAUCAUUAUUGAUUAUUGAAAUGAGGUGAUAUAGAAUUGGUUAAUUAGCUACAGCUAAUAAUUGGAUGAAUGUAUGUAUGUAUAGAUGUCGUCGGAGGGGGCGAGCCACAAUGAGUUCGACUUCGAGUUUCUGGGGAACAGGUCGGGGGAGCCGUACCUGGUGCAGACGAACCUGUACAUAAACGGGGUGGGGAACAGGGAGCAGCGCAUGGACCUGUGGUUCGACCCCGCCGCCGACUUCCACUCCUACAGCAUACUGUGGAACCCGCGCCAGGUGGUGUUCCUCGUCGACGGCACCCCCGUCCGUGUCUACCAGAACAA
rnacentral:lncRNA from 1 species